AUCCCGCUUCAAAUCACCAAAGAGCAGAAAACAGAAGAAAAUGAAAAAGACGUUUCUUUUAAGGGCAUAGACACGUUUCGAUUCAGUUUCAAUGGCAGAGAGAGAAAGAGAGACCUUACCUCUGCCUCCGGCUCUUCCUCGAGCAUCGUCAUCAAGCUCCAGAGCAAGAGCCACCGCCUUAGUUCGACCCGGACCGGACCCGUUGUUAGUAAUUUGUAGGUGUUUCAGCUUUGUAACUUCACUCACUGCGAUUCUUUGUGUUGCCGUCAACGUUCUCUCCGCCGUUAGAUCCUUUAAAGACGGAUCUGAUGUUUUUGAUGGAAUAUUCAGGUGUUAUGCGGUGGUAAUUGCGUUUAUUGUGGUGGUUGCGGAGACGGAGUGGGGAUUUGUUAUUAAGUUCUGGAAGAUAUUGGAGUAUUGGGCAGGGAGGGGCAUGCUGCAAAUCUUUGUUGCAGUAAUGACGAGAGCUUUCCCUGACUAUUCAUCAAACCAGAAGGAGCUUGUUCUUCUACAAAAUAUAGCUAGCUAUAUGCUCCUUGCUUGUGGUCUAGUUUAUGUUAUUUCAGGAAUUCUGUGCAUUGGCUUUCUCAAACGGUCUCGUCAGAAGAAAGAAACUACGAGGGAGCAGGCUGUCAAGGAUCUGGAGGAAUUAGAGCGGCGGAGGGAGGAGCUCGAGCAAUUGCUAAUCGCAGAAAGGAUUUGAUGCAAUUUGGGUUAGUGUGUGUUCAUAUAACCAAAGGGACAAGUUAACCGACCUAGAUGAAUCCAACACUAGAUCUUUGGAUGUUGAGCAGUGACUGCUACCCAUAGACAUCAGCAAUGCCUUCUCUACAUCUCUAGUGACCCUCUGUUCGAUCAAAACUAUUGCAUAUUCCAUUAGCUUUGCAUCACACGGAAAAGUGAGAUGCCCACUGCUAGGCAGUCCAAACUCCUCUUCUGCCAGUUUAAGUAGCCCUUCGACAAUUUCAUUGUUGAGAUAAUUUAAAGGAAGCAGAAACCGUUUCUGAUCAGCAGAGUACACAACAAAAUGACCCUUCUCAGCUGUUGUUGAUGUGCUACAACCGCUUGUGUCUGGUUGUGGCAGUGCGAUUUUCUCCCCGCCUUAUAGCAGCCAUCUUCUGCCAUUUCCUUGCCAGUUUGAUGAGCUUCUUGGCACUGAUCAUCUUGUUUCUGGAAAAUAUUUCACGAGUGAAUAUAGGAAGAUAACUUUAGGAACUUGAAAUACAGAAUGCUUGUUUUGUGA